UAAAUUGUUGUUGAAUGAUUUAUAGUGGUCGCCACGGUCAUUUAUAGUUGUAGAUCGAAAAUAGUCUAAUCUGUGAAGUCAUCAUCAAA